CCUUGUAGGAUUAGGAUCGAUUGCCUUGGGUAGGCGGCUGGUGUGCACUGCGCCCAUAGCGCUACCUAAGGGAUCACUCGAGCCAUCGAUCGAAGGCCUUGGGAGUGAUGACCCUUUGCCUUUAGGUCUGAAGGCUUGGGAGCCGAAGCCUUAUCGAGUCUAGUUGCAUUAGUUAGCCCCAGCCUCAUGCAUCCAUGUUAGCAUUUCCUAGGUUAGAGUCAGCCUCACCCUCUUUUAAGCACAUUAGGCACGAGGGAAGGGGUUCCACCCCUUUUACUUGCUUUUAUUGUAUUUCUUUUCUUAAUUGCUCCCAAUGUGUUAUGUGAACUAUCAAUUGCACUAACCAUUCUUUUGUUUUCUUGGAUUGCAUUCAUGGGCCUUAGCAAUAAGAGGCCUUUUGGCACUCUUUUAGUGACUUACCCACUAGAUGACUCACAUGUUUAAAUUUCAGUCAUUACACUUAAUUUUCAGUAAGUACAUUUUUCAUUUUUAGACCUUUUCCCCCCGA
rnacentral:lncRNA from 1 species